UUCCUGGUCUUCGGCAGGGGAAAUACCCACUUUCGAAGCCGCUCCUUUGCGCCCUAAAACAAGUAGCCCCAACGUGAGAGAAACAAAAGCCAGUAUCCUCAGGUGUCCAUGGAGAUGAACUGAGGCUUUCUGCCAACAGCCAUGAGAGUAUGCCACCUUGGAAUGGAUCCUCCAGCCCCAGACAAGCCUUCAGCAGACUGCAGUCCCAGCUAACAACUUGAGUGAAACCUUGCAAGAGACCCUGAGCCGGACCAACCAGCUAACCUGCUUCCAGAUUCCUGACCCUCAGAAAUCUUGUGAAGAAUGUCCAUAGUGCUUAUCCCAUAUGUACCACGACUGCCAGUUGGGUAAGCAUGAAACAGAUAACUUUUCUCUUUAGUUCCUGGGUCUUCAGAUCAAGAGGGACCAUCUUCAAGGAGCUGUAUUUAAGGAACUAUACCCUUGGGAGUUACUGUAAGAUGUGGAUUCACAUGAGAGACUGGAUGACAUGAAAAUUUUACCUAAUCCCUAAAUAUGAACAAGGGAUUAAUGGGCAGAAAGGAAGGGUAUAUAUUUUCUGAAUUGGGGUGAUGGUUUAUUGGUCAUUGAUUCAUUGAAUUAGAUUUGGCUGAGAGUGACAAUCUAAAAUAACAAUGGCUUCAACAAAACAUAAGUUUAUUUUUCUCUCACAUAAAAAACCUGGAGGUGGAUGAUUCAAGGCUAGUAUAGGAGCUCCAUUCUAUGAAGCCUUCAGGGAACCAAGCCUUUUACCAAGUUUCUGUUCCACCAUACCUAGCUUGUGGCCCUAAUGCUCCUAUUCUAAAAUGGACCGCCAACUCUCAAAGAAGAUAGAGAAAAGGAGAAGAAUGGGUAAAAGGCAUAUAUUUGCUGUCACUUAAGGAAGAUUGCUGGAAUCUGCCACAUCACACUUUCAUUUACAUCCCAUUGGUCAGCACUUAGUCACGUGGUCACAUCUAGCUGCAAGAGAAUCUGGGAAAUACGGUCUUUACAAUGUAUAGUUAAACAUUCUCUUACUAAGGAAGAAAGAAAAGAUGUUGAGGGACCACUAACAGUCUCCUAGAGUCAGUAUUGUUACUUGUAGAGAAUAGAAUCCACUCAGGGUACUUUAAACUGAAAGAGCUUUUUAUUAGACAACAUUGUGCGAUUUAUGAAUAUCCCGGUGGGCCAGAGAAUCAUGCUUAGAUGCUGAAAGUUCAGGACAACAUCAACCAUGAGAAACUCCCAACCAUACCAUGUGACUAUUGUCAUAGGAUCCCAAAUGCUGCCACCACCUAAUACUAUGACAUUGGGAACAGACAUUGAAAUCUCUGCCAAGCUGCCCUAGAAGAACCAGCCCCUUCAAACUAGGCUUGCAAGAAUAGCUAAUAUACCCAGAGCCAUGGCUUUUGCCUCACAUUUCUCCUUUCCUCCAUUUCAAUCUCACAAGGAUGCAUCUAUUUGAAAAAUAACUUCAGGGGAGUCUGGGAAAUGUAGUUUUUAGCUUUCCAGCCUAUGCAGUAUAGGAAGGAAUACAAGGGGAUUGGAGAGUGUGUUAAAUGAGCUAAUACACAGUAUAUGCCACAGUCCAUCAUUUUGUGUACUAGUUAUCUGUACAAACUUACCAUACUUAAAUUUAAAAAAAAAAGUAACAAAAUGUUCCCGCCUAAUAUAAUUCAACUGUCAUAGAAAAAAAUUCUCAUUAUCUCAGUGAAAGGGAAUACCCAAUGACUCAUGAAGAACUACAUCAUUCUCUGAGAAAUAUUCAUGUCUUAUCCAUUAAAUCAUAAUAUGAUAUUCUGUAACCAAGAAAGAAAAUGUGUAUAGUUACUACAGUCCUUGUUUCUAAAACUGGUCACAGGGAAUAGUUGGCAUUUAUAAUAUCCUUCCUCUCCUUCCUGUGUUA